CCCCGCCGCAAGCGGCUCGGCAGGGAGCGAGCGGCGCCAGCCCGAGAGGAUGCCGUUCAGGUGCUUUUCCAAACAGUCCGUCCCUGUCACAAACAAGCCCGCCCGAGGUACUCGGGAGGAAGAAAACCCGGCAACCACAUCUCCUCGUGGGUCAGUCCGUCACGCAUCAACCCACCAAGGCAGAGACAGGGAAAGGGGCAUCUCCAGAAUGAUUCUUCCUACCAGUCCACCCUGACCGUGGGAGCACUGGAAAGUUUCACCUACAGCCCAGCAUGCAAACGCUUUGAGCUGCAGGAGGAAGGGUGAAGUUGGAGCAGAUAAGAGUAAGUCCACACUAAAUACUUGGGAGGAGAAGAACAGUAAUUUCCUCACACAAAAGCAGUAAAUGGCAGGGAGCGCAGGAGAUGCACCCCACACUGCCCAGAGACAGCCAGGACCGGAGGCCCCUGCCUGCCUUACCCCCUGACUAAAGAUAGAUCCAGAUGCUCCAUGUUAUGGAAACUCAGAUAGAACCCAGCUGUGGCACAUUGUCCAGUAAAGAUCCUGAAUGUUCAGAUUAGACUGGACUCUCCCAGUGUAAAAAGGAAGGCAGAACAGGCUGGAGGACAAGAUUUUAAGGAUUUGUUACAAGGAUAAGCAUGAAUCCCUUUCAUUCUUUCUGUCAGAGGCUGACAUGGGCGAAAUAAUGAGCUUUCACCCUUGCUACGUGAGCACUACAAGGCGAGAAUUGAUUUUCAAGCCACACGGAUCAGCUCAUCACACACACUAGGAGGGCACCUGGCAGCAGCACGGCAUUUCUGCACCCCUUCCUUCCUCACUGUGCAAUCUAUUUACACAUUUCCUGGUUCAGUAACCACAUCUCAUCGUGUACCAGUCCACCACGUAUCAAUCCACCAAGUUAGAGACAGGGAAAGUGGCACCUCCAAAGCAAUGCAUCCUUCCAUGUCCUUCCUAACCAUGGGAGAGACAAAGCGUUUCACCUACAACCACAAAUGCCAACACUUUGAGCUAUAGGAGGAAAGAUGAAGUUAGAGCUGGUAAGAAGUUCUCAGCAUGAUAACAUUGAAUCUAAAUUAGUCCCCAAAGAUUUUGGUUCUGGAAUGUAUGCGGAUAAUUAAUUUUUCAACUGGGAUUUUCAAGCUGUAACUUCCAAUCCAACUGGGUCUAUUGCAAAACAAAACAAAACAAAACAAAACAAAACAAAACAAAACAAAACAGUAUAAGUGCAGUAAUAUCAUCAUCCAGCAGCUCAGAUUAAAAAGAAAAAAAGAAAAAAAAACAGAGAGCAAGAUUUUAGAAGCACUGAAUACUUGAUUUUUUUCCCUUAAUAGUUCUAAGGUAAACAGCAAGUCAAAUCCUUUUCCUCACAGCCAUUCUUUAAACAAUCAGUUGCUUCUCCUAAAUUUUCCUUGUAGGACAGCAACUUAUCCAGCACAAACUCAGGCUUUUGGUUUCCAGUGUUGUGAUACCACAGCAGGGCACCAGCUCCCAGCUCGCUGGGAAGGAAGGGGACGUGUGGGAAGGCUCUCACUUUUAAGUAACAGCUUCACCUCCAGCAAUCUGCUCCCUCUGAGAGCAAAUGUGGGGAAAGACUUUGAGCAAUUAAGUCACAGAGUGACUUCACCCAGCAAAGACCACUGUCUGGAGGUAUUAUAAAAUGUAAGUCCCCAGGCUACCCAGCAUCAAUGCAGGCUUUAACAGUGCUGUGCAAUUGCUGCAUGAACAGCUGCCCUCCCCAGCAAGGGAGCAAACAGGGAGAAAUGCACUGGUCUCAGACUCCACAAACACUGGUCAGCUCCCCAGAGGUGCCACUGAGAGACACCACUGGAGCAUUUCCAUGCUCUCUAUUCCUCUUUGUCCGAGGCUUGCUGAGGUUGGCACUGGGCUCACAGCAGAGGGGGGCUGCUUGUACUUCCCUCAAAACCUCCCUUUCAGGCCACACUUGGGCUUGGGGAAGGAGCUCUCCAUGGGCUUGUGUUCAAUUCACCACCUGAAACGGUCCCUCCAACCAGGGCAGCUGGAAACCAUGUUCCUGUUUGUGCAUCUCCCAAAGCUAGACAUCUCCUAAGGCAAAUAUUUGCUAGAAAACACUUGGAAUCAUUGAUUUAGCAACCUUUUACUUUCUGACCAAACUUCUCAGUACAGUACUAACAAUGUACCCCAAGAAAAUGCUUUGUGACUUGCUUGUGGAGGAGUUCUCCUCACAGGAGAGCUGUGCAGAGCUUACUCACAGCAAGCAAUGCUCCCUUCUGAAGGAUACUUGGCCUUUGCCAAGUUUUCUUACAAUAUAAAGAGAGGCCAAGUGUUAUUUUGUCUCACAUUUUACUUAAAUUUUUAUUUUUCUAAGAAUGUGGACUUUAAGUUGCUAUCCCACCCCAUUUUCAGAGGAUUUCCUACACAACUUUACUGACUUCAUGCUUAAUACAUUUUAUUAGCCUAUGACAUAAGAUUGGCCUUUUUCCUGCUCUCAGAAACCACAUCCCACCGUAACUUUUUUUCUGAGCAUAUUCAAUGAACAGCUUUCUAAAUGUUUUUGCUCUCUGUAAUUCAACACCCAAAACAGACAAGACUUAUCUAUUCCCUGAAAACUAAACUUCUAUUUUCUGAAAAGCACACAAGGAUUCUUACUAUGGAAGCUGGCAGACCUUAGUUAAAUUCCCACUUGCAGAAGUAGCAGCACAUGGGAUUUUGACAUUUAUUUUCCUCAAAUGCCUUUGCUACCAUGGUGCACUUGCUCAGACAUUUGAAGAAAACCACAAGCAGACAAAGUGAAAUCAUCUCAGAAUUGAAGCAAAUCCUCACAAACUCUCACAGUAUACUAAUUGCAUAAAAUCCAAUCAAACCCGUUCAACCUCACAGAAAGGGUAAAGAUUGCUAAAAGAACAUGCUGAAUAUUUAACAGACAUGAAAAAGAAGCCAUCAAAAUUCUCACCAACAACACAGACACCUCUUAAGUGCUCUCAAACUAAACAUUUCCUUCUUAUUGAAAAAAUUCUUCCACAUCAACCAUUCUUCCACUCUACAAUCAGGGACCUUUUAUCUUGUUUAGAAAAACACCCAGAUCAUAAUUGCCUUCAUCAACACAGCCAUGUACAGCACCUGCCCUGCACCUAAGCAGAGAAGAUGAUGUGCUGUCCCAUCCCCUGAACAUUCAAAGCUCUGGAGUCAUGCCUGAAGAAAGGAUUUCACCUGUUGUACGUAUGACUGCAGAAUGGGGCACUCCAAUGUUGGCUGCUCUCUGGUUUUAUUCUGGUUUUAGGGGCACAGUAACAACCAAAGCCAGGAGUUCACAGUAACAGGCUGUGUGUAAAGACAACAAAGGACAGAUGCUUGUCCCCCCUGAGACUAUCAUUUGGACAGAGCAAUGCAAGUUCCCAAUUUUACCAGCAGAAAUGGGAAGCAAGAGGCUGAGUGACUUCUCUAAAGUGACACAACAGCUUACAAGGUGGAGCAGCAAAUUGGGAAACUGGGGAAAACAAAGGUGUUAGCCAGCACAGUAUUUCAACUGCAAACCCGUAGCUCGCACUUCAUCAGGUGUCACAUGAACUGGCUAAAAGAAAUGUCCUUGGGGGCUAGGCUGAACUUCUACGUGUUCACUACUUAAGUUUUCCCAUUUGUUUUUAAGCACUCUUUGAGUCUUGUUAAGUUUUAAUACAUCACAUGGCGCCUUUGUUUGUCCUUGUUAGAAAUGUCAGUUCACUACACAGGCAAAGCUGAGAAACCAUUGUUAGCCACUGUGUUAGCCUUUUGCAAGAAAAAGAUAAAAAUAUAUCCCUCUUCUGCCUUUCUUUUGGAAGCCUGUUUUAAAGGUGCCUUAGUAAAACACAGGCUUUCCUUUUAAGGGAUUGUCUGGUACGAGAGGAAACAACCUGUUUUAGAAAAACAGUUCAUCUUCUAAGCAAGGGGGUGGGAUUGAAACUGUGCACAAAAUGAAUUUAUAAGGAAAAUCAGAGCCAGUAGUAAACAUAAAGAUGCAUCCUGGUACUCCUGCUUGCUUUUUAUGGCUUAUCCCCAGUGGGGAAGCUGCUAUAAAAUGACCUAAGUGAGAAACUGAAAUGCAACAGCUCUGGCACUGUAACUCUACGUGGAUGUUUUUGUUGCACAGUUACCAGCCUGUGUGGGUUUGGUAAGGCACAGGUGAUGCCAGGUGUCCCUUCCCUGGGGCACACCACAGGACAGUUAGGGCAAGGAGGUCAUGGUGGUGACCAGCAUCCUUUAAAGAAAGCAACAACACAGGCAGCCAGACAGGUGAAGCCAGCCCACAUCUCCUGGCCAUGCCUGCUCCAGUUCAGCUCUGAGCCACUGCUGUGGGACUGUGGUCAGAUACUCACCCCACAGCCCUUGCAGACAUCCUGGCCUUUCCCGUACUUGGUGGCAGAUGACAGCUCAAGACCACCCUGCAAACACCUUGAGCUGCUGCAGAUGGAUGAGUUAGUUUGAUGAUUAGGGGACAAUCUAACCUGGGGGUGUUUGCCUCCAGCACCCCCAUCAGCAACCCCCUGACUCUUCUGCCAGCAGAGUGUGGGGAUGGCUGCACAUUGGGAAGAGUGGGAAGUGGUUCAACACCUUUAAGAUGCUGGAGUGAGAUGAUAUGUGCUCAAAGCCUUGUUUAUACAAUUUCAUUAAAUAAAUGCAGCUACAGAUUGACAUUUUAAUUCCUCUAUAUGACAUUUACCAAGGCCUUCAAAACAAACAUAUUUCCACUUACUUGGCUGCAUAUGCCACCUUUAAAGCAACAGAGGAAUGAUUAAAUAGGAGUUUGCUUCAGUAAAGUCAGCUCAUUUUUUAAACCUGCCUGGUUCCAACCUGCUCAUUUUUAUUUAAGGUUCUCUAAUCAUCUCUGGCUGCAGCCUGGCAAGGAAUCUCAACAGUUCACACAGAGAUUAUUAUUUUCUUAACAGUCCUUUUAUCAUUAUGAUUUUCCCAUUUAAACUGCAGCUGUUUGAGUGAACAGGCAGUUACUGGUCUCCCCAGGGUACUUGAAUCUGAGAGAGCAGAAGAGACCCUGGUUACAAGAAGUCUUCAGGUGUGUUCCUGCAGCCUCCACACCACCAGCAUGAAGCAACCCAUCAGGAGCACAUCAGUAGGACAGGACAGGCACAUGUGUGCUUCCCAGGAGGGGACAAGUGCUUGGGAGGAAAGGAGUAAAAGAGUAAGAGAAGAAAAAAAGAACUGCUUUCUGAAGGUCUUUAUUUAUAAAUUGCCUCCAGGCCAGACACAGUCUUACUUCCUUUUCUUAGAGCUUGGGUGAGAUCCCUCACUCUGUCUCUCCUUAGGAGAGCCAAAGGGGAAGACACUGGUGACGAGGAGUAGAGCAAGAAGGCUGGAAAAAGUCCAGUUGGAGUCACUCCCAUAACUCUGUUCAGCAGUUUGGGGUCAUAAAGGCUAGUCCCUCCUGGCUUCAGAAAGAGAUCAAGGAAGGUGAAUAAUUCAAAUUGGCUCUGUUGGAAAAUAAGUGCACAGACAGUCACUGCCAUGACAAUCUCUAUGAGCCGAGAGUGCUGCAGAGCUAUUGAGCAGAGCCAGCUGGGCCAAAUUCCGCUCCCCGUCACACCCAACCCGCCCGAUCGAUGCUGUGGGGGCACACAGUGCCUUGCGUGCACAAGGUCUCCUUCCCACAGGCAAAUAUCCGAUUGUCCUGGCCUGGCAGCCGGGCGGCUGCGGGAGGAUGUGCUCGGGCAGGGAGGGCAUGCUGCGGCUGAUGCAGUGGGACAGGGCCCUUCUGGGGCUCCUUUCAGGACCCCAGCUGAGACAUGCUGGAGGUGUCAUCCUGGGCAGACCUGGGCCUUCCUACCCCCCUGCAAAGCCAGGUGACAAGCCUUUGCUUCUCAUGCCAAGGAGGACGGCUCCCUGCCUGCUGAAUGUGACAACUCCUACCUUUGGUGUGUGUGCUCUCCCUGUUUUUCCUUCAUGGACCAACGUGGCCCCUCUCUCCUGAGCCACAACAGUGAGAAUACUCUGUCUUGCAUAUUUUUGCCUCCAGCCUCAGAAACAAAAGGGGAAGCAAGACAGGAAUAUGACCUUUAUGACUUAUCUGCACUUGGACGUGUACCAGAACAGAUCAUCAGGGAUGCUGGUUUCAAGUGCUGCUGUAGCUACUUGAGCAGCAGCCCUGUAAAGCCCUAAUUUGGGAAGGGCAGCUCCUGGUUCUCAUCCUUCAGAGCAAGCUUUCACUUUGGGCCUUCCACCUGGACCACUGUUUUGGUCCUGCUUGCUGGCAAACACUAGUCAGGCUCCAAAGGUCAGGGGUGUGAAAAAGUACAAUGCAAAUGAAGCCUUUCCAGACAGCAGAUUUCUGUCAAUAGCAGAGCUGUGCUCUCACCAGCCUCACUCACUGGCAGAAGUGACCUGACUUUUGGGGGUCAAAUAGCAGCCCAGAUAACUGGCAUUAGCUGCCCUGAUUUACAGGCAACUUUUUAACCCAGCAUUUUGUGCCUGCGUCACCUCCAGCUGCUGCUCCUGCCUCGCUGCCAGCCCUCUGCUGGCACUAAGACAGGAACCAGCAGAAGAGGCACAGAUCCCCCUUCCUCUACCUCUCCCUGCACCAGGUUUGUUCUUGAAUUUGCACCAGGCUCUGUGCCAAAACAGCAAAGGGGCACAGAGCAGAAGAGACCCACGGGCAAACACCACUCAUGCAGGGAAAUCAUCAGCUCUGCUCCUUUGCUCAAAGACCACCUGAGCCUCCACAGCCUCUCUUGGGGCAUGAAUGGCACGGCUCAUUCACCUGAUUAACCAGGUGGAAGGACACUGGGCUCCCAGCCCUCCCACCAGCCCACAGAAAGGAGGGGUGGAGGACCACACAAGCAGGCUUCAAGGGAAAGCACUUCAGUCAGCCAUCAGCAGCGCUGCACUCUGGCAUUUGCAGGUGUUUUGGAGGAAACUAAUUGAACUCUCACGAAACCACUCCAAACAUUUUUCCUAAGAGAACAUCCUCGCUCAUUUGUUUAUGGUGGAUGCUUUGCACUGUGAGUUGCUGCAUUUAGAUUAGCAUUCAGUGCCAUUUUCCACCUCACCCCGUUUCUGUCUGUAUUAGACAGAGCUGUCAGUAUCUCACCUUCAGUGAAAAGAACAUCAAUAUUCCCUGGCAGCAGGCAGGGGAGGCUCUAUGCAAAGCCAGAGUUUUAACAGUUUAACAAAUGUGCAGACUUGCAAACCUGGAAACUUGUUCUUGGCCAACUAGAUGGCUUGGCCCAACUACCUCCCUCCUUCAGUGCAGCUGCUGCCAGAAGGAAAGUAGAACAGGUUCUCUUCUAACCAGUUUACCUUCUACAUGGCUACACUGAUGGGACCAACUCCUGAACCACACAGACCCUCCCCAGGGGCUGGUGAAACCUUUCUUAAAGUAUAUUUUCAAGCAACUCUUCUUCUCCAGCCUGGGCCUCAAGCAACUUCCCCUCCAUGGGAUAAACAGCUUCUUCCUCAGCUUGAUUACAGCAAUCCUAAAAUUGGAACUGAGGAGCUAACAGGAAGAAAGAGCUGGGAUCUUAUUGAGAUCAACUCUAUUUCUGUCAUGUUGACUGAAAUAGGCAGUUGACCUUGUUCUACUUAUGACUACCUCAGUGCAAGCCACAGCUUGCUUUAUCACCAGCAUGGGACAAGCAGGUACAGCAGGGAGUUCUCGGCACCUUCUGCUUGUCUCACAAAUCCCAUUCCUCCCACCACGGUCAAGUGACCAGCGGUCACCCCCAUGUAGCCAAAGCCAGGCAACGGGGAAAGUGGAGUUCAUGUUAAUGGGCUCCAGAAUUUCAACUCAUUAGUGAACGAACAAAGUGCUUUGGGUCACAGGACGAGGUUUUCUCCCUCCUCCUCCUCCUCCGCCAUUUCCCUGAGGCAGUGAGCAAUAAUUACAUUCACCAUUUUCCUCACACUGAUAUGACAAACCAGUUUAACUGCAGAGGGUGUUUCUCUUGCCAGUCAAUUGUACCAAGGGCUAGUGAGGCCCACUGGAGUUUACAUAGCUUUCAUUAAAAAAAAUUUUCCCCUUGAAAGGGAUGAGAUUUUAAUCAAAACCAUCUCCUGCCUCCAAAGAGCCUGGUUUUCCAACCAGAAAACCACUCCUCACUUCCUUCUGCUCUAACAGCUGCCAGCUGAAUCCCACAACACACCUGGGAUCCCCCUUAAUUUUGGCCCAGCAACGGUGAUGCUGGGGGCUGCCAAGACUUGCUGGGGGGGUACAGGAGGCCAAGCUCCUGCUAAUCCCUGCAGGUGAGGUGAUGCAAUGCAGGACCAGCUCACGUGUUGCUGCUGCAAAGUUCUUUCCUUGGUAGGUCACCACCACUUUUAACUUAUUGUGAUGCUCUGGCCUGGCUGAGCCUCUAAAAAGGUUGUUGUUCCAAGGGGAACAGCACGUUCUCUCACCAUGGUUUAGAUGUCCCCUCUUGCUUUGUGAUGUACCAAAUGUACCAAAGCCACCAGGAGAUGAGGGAAGGACACUGAUGGUUGGAGAGGGUGCAGCCAUACCAUGGUGAACACUGUCAUUCCACAUAACAUAUGGGUGUGCUCCAAAUCCUCUCACAGGACUUUCACUCAGGAUUUUAGUCCUCUUCCUUACUAGGCAGCCAUGCCAUCCAGAUGAAGCAGCCACACCACCCAGAUGAGGCACCCAACUGUCCCUGCCUAAAUUAGACACCACCCCCGCAUAACUCCAGUGCUCUGAGUCACCUCCCUGUCCACUGCUUAUCCCUGGAGAUCUAAGAGGAGAUGCCAAAGUCAACAGUGUGUGUAAUUACUCAAGGUUUUAAUCGAAGGAGUGUAAAAAUAAAAAGUGAUGAUAUAAUGAA